UUUCCGUAGGUGAACCUGCGGAAGGAUCAUUAUUGAAUAAACCUGAUGUGGUUGUAGCUGGCCCUUUCGGGAGCAUGUGCACACCCGUCGUCUUUAUCUUUCCACCUGUGCACCUUUUGUAGACCUGGAUGUAACACUUUCCGAGGCAACUCGGUCGGGAGGAAUGCUGUCAGCUUUCCUUGAAUGUCCAGGCCUAUGUUUUCAUAUACCCCAAAGAAUGUAACAGAAUGUAUUAUUGCGCCUUGUGCCUAUAAACUAUAUACAACUUUCAGCAACGGAUCUCUUGGCUCUC
rnacentral:misc_RNA from 1 species